AAUCAUUGCCAAUAAAUGAACUUAUAUAUAGUGUAAGUAUAUGGAGAAAACCAAUUUUAGUGAGAAAACUUAGCAAACUAGAAUAUGUGGUCCACAUUCACCCACAUCACCUCAUCCAUACCCAUCCUUUAAGGGUAUUUUGGUCUUUUUGUUUCUUUCUUUGAAGAUUGUGCUUUGUACUUUUCACCAACCAUCACAUUUCCCCACAUCCCCACUUGAUUAUACCCAACCCAUCAUCCAUCACCUUUUGUACUUCUUAUCAUCCAUCAUAUUUUUCAAAACUCCAUUGUUCUCUUCUUCAACCAUUGAAAUCUGAAGAUCGAAGAUCGAAGCCAUCCCUUCCAACCUUUGAAAUAUGAAGAUCGAAACCACCAUCAGUGCUCUGCCACCAUCAAAGCUCUCAAAGAUCGAAGAUCAAAGCCACCAUCCCUUCCAACCUUGAAAUCUGAAGAUCGAAGCCACCAUUGAAGAUCGAAGCCACCAUCAAAGCUCUCAAAGAAAAGGAAGCUCGGUGUCAUUUUAAUCACAUCUUUGUUUCUGUUUUUUAGAGAGAGAAAGCUAAUGUUUUGGAAGGAGAGAUAACAAUUUUCAUGUUGUUCACCUAGACACCAAGAACACACGCACAAGUGUGUGAGAGAGAAACAGGUGGAAAGAUGUUUUGUGUUCAAGAUGAAGAUGGUUAUCAAGAAGCGAAACCCGCGGAAGGAUUACAACGCAUCAUCAGGUUUUCGUGGUGACGAUGGUGUUGUUGUGAAGGCAAUUUUUAGAAGACCAUUUUUAGAAGCAUUAUAACUAUUGAUAUAAAAUUUAUUUUUAUUUUCAUUGUUAGUAUGCCAAUAUUUGGAUGAAUACGGAUGUUGUUGUGAAGGCAAUUUUUUUUUGGAUGCAACAACUAUAUGUAACAUGUGUAACCUUGACGUUGUAACACAUGUAACACCUAUAUGUAAUAUGUGUAAGAUUUCUAUACAUGUGUUACAUAUAUACCCAUAUUGUAACAUAUGUUAUAAACAUGUGUUACAUAUGUCA